AAUUGGCCUGCUCGAUUUAUUCUGGCGCGAAAUAUAUUAUAGUCCUUAGAAAGCCUUAAGUUGUGUCACGACCUCUUGAGAUAUUGGUGACGGAGAAUGCCGUCUCAAUGUUCUUGCGGUCCGGUGACAGAUCGUAGGUUAGGGCCAAAGGUUAUCCACAUUCCGUUCAUUAUUUAAGGUCGUGCUUAUCCACUUUUGGAUGAUGUUUAACUAAAAAAAGGAAGGAACCAAUCGGAGGCUAAUUAGUGUUCGGAGCUCCCGUGGAAUGACACUUACCACGAUUUGAUUCGUCCAGACCACCUCGUGCUUUCUCUAACCGAUCUAAUGCCCCUAUAAAUAAACCAUAAAAAUGAAAAAAAUAUAUAAGUGAAAGUUUAAUUAUGUAAGAAAAUCUACACAUGUCAGCAUUUCUACACGUGAUGUGUUUAGCUUCUUCCU